rnacentral:rRNA from 1 species
UACGUAGGGUGCAAGCGUUGUCCGGAAUCAUUGGGCGUAAAGCGCGCGUAGGUGGCCAUUUAAGUCCGCUGUGAAAGUCAAAGGCUCAACCUUUGAAAGCCGGUGGAUACUGUGAGGCUAGAGUACGGAAGAGGCGAGUGGAAUUCCUGGUGUAGCGGUGGAAUGCGCAGAUAUCGGGAGGAACACCGGUGGCGAAGGCGGCUCUCUGGGCCUGACCUGACGCUGAGGAGCGAAAGCGUGGGGAGCGAACAGG